AUACAUAAAAAAAAAAAAAAGAAACUUAUUUACAAGGCCAGUUGCAAACUGAAGAUUGAAACUUAUUUUGAUUUAUGAUAACUAUAUUAUUAGAUUAUUUACGUAGAGCUUGGAGCAAUGGAAGGUGGCAACAUAGGAGUUGCUGCAGGCACUACUGCAGGACCAAAAGGAGCUGCACCACCAAAAAUUCCACCACCACCAGCACACCUUUCCUCAUAGCAGUCCACAGGAUGCUCAAGCACUGGGUUGCAUUCUUCCUUGCUCCUUUGCAGUGGCUUCUCUGGCAAACAGUUGCGACGAUCAUCGAAGGCAAUGCCUCUAGAUGUCAGGUUCAUGCAAAUGCCCUCUUCCUCACAGAAGAAGUUGUAAGAGAAGGUAAAAUUAGACAGACUUGGUAAUACACAAACUCCAUCAGGUACAAGUCCGCUCAUCAUAUUAUGGGCUAAAUUUAAAAUCUCCAAAUGAGCUAAUCCUGCAAGGCUGUAAGGUAUAGGACCAACUAAUUUGUUACGACUAACAUCCAACACCCUCAAUUUGUAGAGAUAUCCAACUUCUGGUGGCAAACACCCUGUCAAACUGGUAUUGAUCAACAGCAACUCCUCUAAAGUUUCUGCAAAAUUAGAUAUACUGGGAGGCAGGCAGCCUCCAAAGUUGUUAUUAGCUAUGACAACCACACUGGCUGUACUUCCACUUAGAAUAGCUGGAAUCACAUUAGAAAAACGGUUGUUGUUAACAAAUAUUGCGUCCAGCUUUUUCUGGAAAAGUUCAGGAGGCAAUGGCCCUUCAAACUCAUUGUAGCGAAGGUCAAGAUAGCUGAGCAUAGGAAGAGAGAGCACAGCAGAAGGAAAAGGACCAACAAAUCUGUUGUUGCUAAGAUCAAGCUCAUAGAGAAGAGAAAGAUUGGAUAUAGUUUGUGGGAUAAUGCCACAGAAGCGAUUGCUAUUUAAGUGGAUGAGUGCUAAAUCAGUUAAGAGGCCUAAUUCAUCAGGAAGGAAACCUGCUAAAUCAGCAAAGUUGAGGUCUAUUCCAGCUACAACUUUGAUUUUGGGCUCUUCAAGAGCAGCUGUACAAUAAAUACCAGUAUAUUUGCAUACAUUAGGACCAACCCAGUUGGAAGUAAAGUUGUUAGGAUCGGAGAAGAUCACACGUUUCCAUGCUUGAAGAGCGAUAUAAGCUCGUUGCAGCCUCCGGUUUGAUGUGUGAGAGUGGUGGCUAUGACGGGCAGAGUAGCCAUGCUUUGCAGCUACAUUGUUGAACAAGCAAGAUAGGUGCAAAAGUAAGAGGAUUAAUAAAGCUCGGAAAGGAAUAGGAUUAAGCCAAAAAGAAGCCAUUGUGUAAUGUGGGUUUAAGGUUGUAAGGUAGUAAGCUCUACCUGUUUAUGUAAGGAGCUACCUCUUACCAAAUUGGAAUUAUUCUGGUCUUCCUUCUAAUCA
rnacentral:misc_RNA from 1 species